CUUAGGUAUUGGGGCGUAAAUCACUUUCUCUU
rnacentral:tRNA from 1 species